rnacentral:rRNA from 1 species
UACGGGGGGGGCAAGCGUUGUUCGGAAUUACUGGGCGUAAAGGGCGUGUAGGCGGCCAACUACGUCCGACGUGAAAUCCCCAGGCUUAACCUGGGAACUGCGUCGGAUACUGGAUGGCUUGAAUCCGGGAGAGGGAUGCAGAAUUCCAGGUGUAGCGGUGAAAUGCGUAGAUAUCUGGAGGAAUACCGGUGGCGAAGGCGGCAUCCUGGACCGACAUUGACGCUGAUGAGCGAAAGCUAGGGGAGCAAACGGG